CCCCCAGUUGGGCGCCACCUCUACGUGGUGUGGGGGAGCAACUCACCAUACGGGUGAGGCGAAGCGCGUC
rnacentral:ribozyme from 1 species